GGCCGCGUGGCCUAAUGGUCCGUUUUACCCUAGGCCUUACUUGGAGUUCGAAAAUAUUAAUCCACGCAUAGGUUAAGGCGUUGGUUUUCGGCACCAAAGAUUUGUGCGUUCGAAUCGCACCGUGGUCG
rnacentral:tRNA from 1 species